rnacentral:rRNA from 1 species
AAGCCCAGCUUGCUGGGUGGAUUAGUGGCGAACGGGUGAGUAACACGUGAGCAACCUGCCCCUGACUCUGGGAUAACAGCCGGAAACGGUUGCUAAUACCGGAUAUGCAUCAUGGCCGCAUGGUCUGUGGUGGGAAAGAUUUUUCGGUUGGGGAUGGGCUCGCGGCCUAUCAGCUUGUUGGUGAGGUAGUGGCUCACCAAGGCGUCGACGGGUAGCCGGCCUGAGAGGGUGACCGGCCACACUGGGACUGAGACACGGCCCAGACUCCUACGGGAGGCAGCAGUGGGGAAUAUUGCACAAUGGGCGGAAGCCUGAUGCAGCAACGCCGCGUGAGGGAUGACGGCCUUCGGGUUGUAAACCUCUUUUAGCAGGGAAGAAGCGAAAGUGACGGUACCUGCAGAAAAAGCGCCGGCUAACUACGUGCCAGCAGCCGCGGUAAUACGUAGGGCGCAAGCGUUAUCCGGAAUUAUUGGGCGUAAAGAGCUCGUAGGCGGUUUGUCGCGUCUGCUGUGAAAACCCGAGGCUCAACCUCGGGCCUGCAGUGGGUACGGGCAGACUAGAGUGCGGUAGGGGAGAUUGGAAUUCCUGGUGUAGCGGUGGAAUGCGCAGAUAUCAGGAGGAACACCGAUGGCGAAGGCAGAUCUCUGGGCCGUUACUGACGCUGAGGAGCGAAAGGGUGGGGAGCAAACAGGCUUAGAUACCCUGGUAGUCCACCCCGUAAACGUUGGGAACUAGUUGUGGGGGCCUUUCCACGGUCUCCGUGACGCAGCUAACGCAUUAAGUUCCCCGCCUGGGGAGUACGGCCGCAAGGCUAA